ensembl:lncRNA LINC01091 long intergenic non-protein coding RNA 1091
GGGAGCAUUUCUAAAUGACUUGAAGCUCUGUCACGGCAUAAUCUCUUAUAAAUAAAUGUCAGUGUAGUCACUGAAUGCAGACUGGAUUUUUGCCUGACUACGGUGCUCAGCCUUCUAGACAAUAGUUAUGCUAAGGGAUUAUCUUUUAACAUUGUGCAGUUAUCUCCUUUGUUUGUUUUCUUUUUUCAUUAUUCACAUAAGCCAAGGGAAAUGAAAAGCAUCUUAUUUCAGGCAAAAAGGCCUGUGAAUGAUUAACUCUGGUUCCAUGCGUUGGGACUUUGCAUAGCAACCCCGUGGCUUGCAACGACAAAAAAGCUCAAGGCAGGAACAGCAGCCCAGGGACCUGAGACCAGCGUUCUCAAAUGAAGGUGCCAGAUCUGCUGUUAGAGGAGAAUUCUUCUGUCCUAGCUGUGUCUCUGUGAUCUGUGGAUGAGGGUGGGAAAGCACCACUCAGUCAAUUGGGGUGUACAAAAUGGAGUUUGAGAAGGUCUCACAUCCAGGUUGUUUUGAAGCAAAGUCCAAGCAUUGUAUCACUUCAUCUGCAAAUAUUUCAAUAAGUACCCAAAAGUGGUUGGACUGAGUCCCAUGAAGCCAGAUCACUUCUGACUGCAAGGAGCUUGGAAAAGCAAGUAUCUGGAUCUUUUACCAGCUAAAUUUGGAGGCCUGUCUGAAGAUUUUUGGUCCCCAUGUUUUAUGAAGUGAUAAAGAUUUUGAGCUUUUCAAAGACAAAGCUGGAACUAUAAAAUGAGAAAAGAUUGAUGAAUAUUAAGUAGAAGAGUGAGAUGGUCAUCUUUGCAUUUAAAAAAGAUCAUUUGCUGUUGCUGUAUGGAAAAUGAAUUGGAGCAGGAAUUAUUGAUCAAAUUUGGAUCUCUGUGUGCUGUCCUCCAAUUUAAUACUUUCUGUGUUGCUGUUUUAUUUUCUUUCUUCUGGAACCUGGCAAAGUGCGUCAAGCGAUGAGGCUUCCUCUUUGAAGAUCACAGGUGAGAAGAUUAGGUGCUUUCUCAGAAGCCCAGCAACCUGAUGGGAGUGUGGAGUGAGCAAGACCCAAAUCGGAGCUUCAUCCCUGCAUGGUUCAUUUUGCUUAUUUGGCAAACUUGCCCUGCAGAAUCUACUCAAGCUUCCUCAGUUUCUCAAAUCAUUCUUGGGCAACAAAUGAACAAGAAAGAGGACGUCUUAUUAUCUGGUGUCUGGCUUGCUGAUUUAAUAACCUAGGAGACAGUGUUUGAAGAACACAAACUCUAAAGUCCUUCACUUAAAAAAAAAAAAAAACUUUCCCAAAUUGCUUACCAUUUGGAAAAAUUGCCUUACCUUCUUCAGUCAUCUCUGAUGUUGUCAUCCUCAGAGUAAGAAGUACGCAUUCAUAAGGAACCAUAACGUCCUUCAGGAAAUCCAGUACACCCUACAAUUUUACCUAAAACUUUGAUGUUGUUUUUUCUGAGCAUUUUACCUUCUAGGGAAAUGGAUCUCAUGCUGUUUAUCAGUUUCUGAAAGUUGUUAUUAAUCUCCCCUCAUCCCAAAAUUGAAGAACUUUGCUUAAAUCUUAGAAUCAGAACUUUGGCUCCAGUAAUAAAGACUUUUCAAUAUCUU